UACGUAGGAGGCGAGCGUUGUCCGGAGUUACUGGGCGUAAAGCGCACGCAGGCGUCAGAUCAGUCUGGAGUGACAGUCGUCGGCUUAACCGACGAAGUGUUCUGGAAACUGUCUGACUUGAGGGCUUCAGAGGGACACGGAAUUCCGGGUGGAGUGGUGAAAUGCGUAGAUAUCCGGAGGAACACCAAGGCGAAGGCAGUGUCCUGGGAAGUACCUGG
rnacentral:rRNA from 1 species